rnacentral:rRNA from 1 species
AUAUAUUUUGCUUUGUUCAAAAUAAGGUUUUCUAAUAAAUUAUGUUUUUAUCAGAUAUGACAGAAUCUUUUUUAAAAUCUCUUCAAUAUGCUUUUAUUGCUUUUGAGAGGUUUUGUUACUUUGAGUAAAAUUAAGUGUUCAUAACAGACGGGUAGUCAUGAUUGAGUUCAUUGUGUUUGAAUACUACAGCAUGGAAUAACAAAUAUGAAUAAGCUAAUUAUUUUUUUUUU